GAUUAGAUACCCUGGUAGUCCACGCCGUAAACGAUGAGUGCUAAGUGUUAGGGCCUUUCCGCCCCUUAGUGCUGCAGCUAACGCAUUAAGCACUCCGCCUGGGGAGUACGGCCGCUUGGCUGAAACUCAAAGGAAUUGACGGGGGCCCGCACAAGCGGUCCAGCAUGUGGUUUAAUUCGAAGCAACGCGAAGAACCUUACCAGGUCUUGACAUCCUCUGACAACUCUAGAGAUAGAGCGUUCCCCUUCGGGGGACAGAGUGACAGGUGGUGCAUAAUUGUCGUCAGCUCGUGUCGUGAGAUGUUGGGUUAAGUCCCGCAACGAGCGCAACCCUUGAUCUUAGAAGCCAGCAUUCAGUUGGGCACUCUAAGGUGACUGCCGGUGACAAACCGGAGGAAGGUGGGGAUGACGUCAAAUCAUCAUGCCCCUUAUGAGGUGGGCUACACACGUGCUACAAUGGACGGUACAAAGAGUCGCGAGACCGCGAGGUGGAGCUAAUCUCAUAAAACCGUUCUCAGUUCGGAGGGUAGGCUGCAACUCGCCUACAUGAAGCCGGAAUCGGAUCUAAUCGCGGAUCAGCAUGCCGCGGUGAAUACGUUCCCGGGCCUU
rnacentral:rRNA from 1 species